AGCAGCCGCGGUAAUUCCAGCUCCAAUAGCGUAUAUUAAAGUUGUUGCAGUUAAAAAGCUCGUAGUUGAAUUUCGGGGUCAGCAAGUUGGUCGUGCCACUGGUAUGUACUGGCUUCGCUGAUUCCUCCUUCUUGUAGAACCGUAAUGCCAUUAAUUUGGUGUUGCGGGAAAACAGGACUGUUACUUUGAAAAAAUUAGAGUGUUUAAAGCAGGCUAACGCUUGAAUACAUUAGCAUGGAAUAAUGAAAUAGGACGACGAUCCUAUUUUGUUGGUUUCUAGGAUUGACGUAAUGAUUAAUAGGGAUAGUUGGGGGCAUUAGUAUUCAAUUGUCAGAGGUGAAAUUCUUGGAUUUAUUGAAGACUGACUACUGCGAAAGCAUUUGCCAAGGAUGUUUUCAUUAAUCAAGAACGAAAGUUAGGGGAUCGAAGACGAUCAGAUACCGUCGUAGUCUUAACCAUAAACUAUGCCGACUAGGGAUCGGAUGAUGUUAAUUUUAUAAUGACUCAUUCGGCGUACCCG
rnacentral:rRNA from 1 species